rnacentral:rRNA from 1 species
CAGCGAAAGUUGCGCUAAUACCGCAUACGAUCUAAGGAUGAAAGCAGGGGACCGCAAGGCCUUGUGCUCCUGGAGCGGCCGAUAUCUGAUUAGCUAGUUGGUGGGGUAAAGGCCUACCAAGGCAUCGAUCAGUAGCUGGUCUGAGAGGACGACCAGCCACACUGGAACUGAGACACGGUCCAGACUCCUACGGGAGGCAGCAGUGGGGAAUUUUGGACAAUGGGCGAAAGCCUGAUCCAGCAAUGCCGCGUGAGUGAAGAAGGCCUUCGGGUUGUAAAGCUCUUUUGUCAGGGAAGAAACGGUGCGGGCUAAUAUCCUGCACUAAUGACGGUACCUGAAGAAUAAGCACCGGCUAACUACGUGCCAGCAGCCGCGGUAAUACGUAGGGUGCAAGCGUUAAUCGGAAUUACUGGGCGUAAAGCGUGCGCAGGCGGUUUUGUAAGUCUGAUGUGAAAUCCCCGGGCUCAACCUGGGAAUUGCAUUGGAGACUGCAAGGCUAGAAUCUGGCAGAGGGGGGUAGAAUUCCACGUGUAGCAGUGAAAUGCGUAGAGAUGUGGAGGAACACCGAUGGCGAAAGCAGCCCCCUGGGUCAAGAUUGACGCUCAUGCACGAAAGCGUGGGGAGCAAACAGGAUUAGAUACCCUGGUAGUCCACGCCCUAAACGAUGUCUACUAGUUGUCGGGUUUUAAUUAACUUGGUAACGCAGCUAACGCGUGAAGUAGACCGCCUGGGGAGUACGGUCGCAAGAUUAAAACUCAAAGGAAUUGACGGGGACCCGCACAAGCGGUGGAUGAUGUGGAUUAAUUCGAUGCAACGCGAAAAACCUUACCUACCCUUGACAUGUACGGAAGCCACGAGAGAUCGAGGCGUGCUCGAAAGAGAGCCGUAACACAGGUGCUGCAUGGCUGUCGUCAGCUCGUGUCGUGAGAUGUUGGGUUAAGUCCCGCAACGAGCGCAACCCUUGUCAUUAGUUGCUACGAAAGAGCACUCUAAUGAGACUGCCGGUGACAAACCGGAGGAAGGUGGGGAUGACGUCAAGUCCUCAUGGCCCUUAUGGGUAGGGCUUCACACG